AUUGAACGCUGGCGGCAGGCCUAACACAUGCAAGUCGAGCGGCAGCGGGUAGAAAGCUUGCUUUCUGUGCCGGCGAGCGGCGGACGGGUGAGUAAUACCUAGGAAUCUGUCCAUUAGUGGGGAAUAACCAGCCGAAAGGUUGGCUAAUACCGCAUACGCCCUACGGGGGAAAGGGGGGGAUCUUCGGACCUCUCGCUAAUGGGGGAGCCUAGGCCGGAUUAGCUAGUUGGUAGGGUAAAGGCCUACCAAGGCGACGAUCCGUCGUUGGUCUGAGAGGAUGACCAGCCACACUGGGACUGAGACACGGCCCAGACUCCUACGGGAGGCAGCAGUGGGGAAUAUUGCACAAUGGGCGAAAGCCUGAUGCAGCCAUGCCGCGUGUGUGAAGAAGGCCUUCGGGUUGUAAAGCACUUUAGGCGGGGAGGAAAAGCUAACGAUUAAUACUUGUUAGCCGUGACGUUACCCGCAGAAUAAGCACCGGCUAACUCCGUGCCAGCCGCCGCCGUAA
rnacentral:rRNA from 1 species